rnacentral:lncRNA from 1 species
GGAGUGUCCUCGAGCUCCGGCUAUGGUUCCGAUUUCACAGUGUGGGGGUGUUCUUCCCGCUUAGCCCUCAGCAGUAGCAGAACCACUUCCUUCAGUUGGUCCCCGUUUCCCGCCUACGGACCUGCCGCACCCCACAGAUAGGAACCAGAUGGAAAGCAGCCUCCCUGCGCAGGCACCCUGACUUCCUCCUCACCCUCCCCAUUCCCAUGACAAUCCAUCCAGGCAGGAGAGAAGGAACAAGGAACACAGGCGGCCCAAGAGGGCGGGGCAGAAGUUCCAGCCAGACUCUUCUCACCAGACUAUGAAUUCAACCUGAGCCUCAGAAGCAGCACUGACCACUACCAACUGGGUGCCUGAUCACCAUGAAUAUCUACUGGCUGACUAGCAGGGUUGUAAAUAAUGCAUAAAUAAAACUUCCCAUCACCA